rnacentral:rRNA from 1 species
GACGAACGCUGGCGGCGCGCCUAACACAUGCAAGUCGAACGAGAGAUGAAGAGCUUGCUCUUCAAAUCGAGUGGCGAACGGGUGAGUAACGCGUGAGGAACCUGCCUCAAAGAGGGGGACAACAGUUGGAAACGACUGCUAAUACCGCAUAAGCCCACGGCUCGGCAUCGAGCAGAGGGAAAAGGAGUGAUCCGCUUUGAGAUGGCCUCGCGUCCGAUUAGCUAGUUGGUGAGGUAACGGCCCACCAAGGCAACGAUCGGUAGCCGGACUGAGAGGUUGAACGGCCACAUUGGGACUGAGACACGGCCCAGACUCCUACGGGAGGCAGCAGUGGGGAAUAUUGCACAAUGGGGGAAACCCUGAUGCAGCGACGCCGCGUGGAGGAAGAAGGUCUUCGGAUUGUAAACUCCUGUUGUUGAGGAAGAUA